rnacentral:rRNA from 1 species
AACGGGUGGAGUAACGCGUGAGGAACCUGCCUCAAAGAGGGGGACGAACAGUUGGAAACGAACUGCUAAUACCGCAUAAGCCCACCGGUGCCGCAUGGCACAGAGGGAAAAGGAGCAAUCCGCUUUGAGAUGCCUCGCGUCCGAUUAGCUAGUUGGUGAGGUAACGGCCCACCAAGGCAACGAUCGGUAGCCGGACUGAGAGGUUGAACGGCCACAUUGGGACUGAGACACGGCCCAGACUCCUACGGGAGGCAGCAUG